UCGGGAAUUUUGGGCAAUGGGCGAAAGCCUGACACAGCAACGCCGCGUGAAGGAUGAAGUCCCUCGGGAUGUAAACUUCGUAAGAAUAGGAAGAAUAAAUGACGGUACUAUUUGUAAGGUCCGGCUAACUACGUGCCAGCAGCCGCGGUAAUACGUAGGGACCAAGCGUUGUUCGGAUUUACUGGGCGUAAAGGGUGCGUAGGCGGCAUAUCAAGUCACUUGUGAAAUCUCCGGGCUUAACUCGGAACUGCCAAGUGAUACUGAUGUGCUAGAGUGCAGAAAGGGCAACUGGAAUUCUUGGUGUAGCGGUGAAAUGCGUAGAUAUCAAGAGGAACACCUGAGGCGAAGGCGAGUUGCUAGGCUGACGCUGACGCUCAUGCACGAAAGCGUGGGGAGCAAACAGGAUUAGAUACCCGUGUAGUCCCUGAGCGGGCUGGCAAGGCGCAU
rnacentral:rRNA from 1 species